rnacentral:rRNA from 1 species
GACGAACGCUGGCGGCGUGCCUAAUACAUGCAAGUCGAACGCACAGUUUAUACCGUAGCUUGCUACACCAUAGACUGUGAGUUGCGAAUGGGUGAGUAACGCGUAGGUAACCUGCCUGGUAGCGGGGGAUAACUAUUGGAAACGAUAGCUAAUACCGCAUAAUAUUAAUUAUUGCAUGAUAAUUAAUUGAAAGGUGCAAUUGCACCACUACCAGAUGUACCUGGGUUGUAUUAGCUAGUAGGGGAGGUAACGGCGCACCUAGGGGACGAUACAUAGCCGACCGCGAAGGGGGGGCGGCCCAACUGGGAAUGAGAAACGGCCCAUGAUCCUACAGGAGGCAGCAGUAGGGAAACUUCGGCAAUGGGCGAAAGGCUGACCGGGCAAAGCCGCGGGAGUGGAGAAGGGUUUCGGGUCGUAAAACUCUGUUGUAAGGGAAGAACGAAUGUGGGAAUGGAAAAUUCACACUGUGACGGUAUCUUACCAGAAAGGGACGGCUAACUACGUG